rnacentral:rRNA from 1 species
AUUGAACGCUGGCGGCAUGCCUUACACAUGCAAGUCGAACGGCAGCGGACCUUCGGGUGCCGGCGAGUGGCGAACGGGUGAGUAAAGUAUCGGAACGUACCUCUCAGUGGGGGAUAACGUAGAGAAAGGUACGCUAAUACCGCAUAUUCUGAGAGCAGGAAAGCAGGGGAUCGCAAGACCUUGCGCUGAUGGAGCGGCCGAUAUCAGAUUAGCUAGUUGGUGAGGUAAAGGCUCACCAAGGCGACGAUCUGUAGCGGGUCUGAGAGGAUGAUCCGCCACACUGGAACUGAGACACGGUCCAGACUCCUACGGGAGGCAGCAGUGGGGAAUUUUGGACAAUGGGAGCAACCCUGAUCCAGCCAUGCCGCGUGAGUGAAGAAGGCCUUCGGGUUGUAAAGCUCUUUCGUCCGGGAAGAAAUCGCAUCAGCUAAUACCUGGUGUGGAUGACGGUACCGGAAUAAGAAGCACCGGCUAACUACGUGCCAGCCGCCGCAGUAA